rnacentral:rRNA from 1 species
CAAACGACUCUCGGCAACGGAUAUCUCGGCUCACGCAUCGAUGAAGAAGGUAGCAAAAUGCGAUACUUGGUGUGAAUUGCAGAAUCCCGUGAACCAUCGAGUUUUUGAACGCAAGUUGCGCCCGAAGCCAUUCGGCUGAGGGCACGUCUGCCUGGGCGUCACGC